ensembl:snoRNA SNORD15 Small nucleolar RNA SNORD15
CUUCAGUGAUGAGACGAUGACGAGUCAGAACAGGGCUCAUACUGGUUCUGGCAGUUUCUGGUUCAGAUUCACGUUCUGUGGUUCUGCUCCAGCGCUUCAGAUCAGAGGGGCCACCUCAAUUGACGACACUGAGGCAUUUGUCUGAGAAGG